rnacentral:misc_RNA from 1 species
AUCAAUGUGGGAGCUGGCUUGCCUGCGAUAGCGGUGUGAAUUCACUACCGCUAUCGCAGGCAAGCCAGCUCCCACAGUGUU